UACGUAGGAGGCGAGCGUUGUCCGGAUUUACUGGGCGUAAAGCGCGCGCAGGCGGCACACUAAGUACGAUGUGAAAUCUCCCUGCUCAACGGGGAGGGUGCAUAGUAAACUGGUGAGCUAGAGGACGGUAGAGGGGGGUGGAAUUGCUGGUGUAGCGGUGAAAUGCGUAGAGAUCAGCAGGAACACCCGUGGCGAAGGCGGCCCCCUGGGCCGUACCUGACGCUGAGGCGCGAAGGCUAGGGGAGCGAACGGG
rnacentral:rRNA from 1 species